rnacentral:rRNA from 1 species
AGAGUUUGAUCCUGGCUCAGAUUGAACGCUGGCGGCAGGCCUAACACAUGCAAGUCGAGCGCGAAAGGCUUUCGGGCUGAGUAGAGCGGCGGACGGGUGAGUAACGCGUAGGAAUCUACCUGGUAGUGGGGGACAACUUGGGGAAACUCAAGCUAAUACCGCAUACGCCCCACGGGGGAAAGCGGGGGACCUUCGGGCCUCGCGCUAUCGGAUGAGCCUGCGUAGGAUUAGCUAGUUGGUGGGGUAAAGGCUCACCAAGGCGACGAUCCUUAGCUGGUCUGAGAGGAUGAUCAGCCACACUGGAACUGAGACACGGUCCAGACUCCUACGGGAGGCAGCAGUGGGGAAUAUUGCGCAAUGGGCGAAAGCCUGACGCAGCCAUGCCGCGUGUGUGAAGAAGGCCUUAGGGUUGUAAAGCACUUUCAAUUGGGAAGAAAAGUUUAUGGUUAAUAGCCAUAAGCCCUGACAUUACCUUUAGAAGAAGCACCGGCUAACUCCGUGCCAGCAGCCGCGGUAAUACGGAGGGUGCGAGCGUUAAUCGGAAUUACUGGGCGUAAAGCGCGCGUAGGCGGUUUGUUAAGUCAGCUGUGAAAGCCCCGGGCUCAACCUGGGAACUGCAGUUGAUACUGACCGACUAGAGUACGAGAGAGGGAGGUAGAAUUCCAUGUGUAGCGGUGAAAUGCGUAGAUAUAUGGAGGAAUACCAGUGGCGAAGGCGGCCUCCUGGCUCGAUACUGACGCUGAGGUGCGAAAGCGUGGGGAUCAAACAGGAUUAGAUACCCUGGUAGUCCACGCUGUAAACGAUGUCUACUAGCCGUUGGGAGACUUGAUUUCUUAGUGGCGCAGCUAACGCAAUAAGUAGACCGCCUGGGGAGUACGGCCGCAAGGUUAAAACUCAAAGGAAUUGACGG